rnacentral:rRNA from 1 species
GACGAACGCUGGCGGCGUGCUUAACACAUGCAAGUCGAACGGGCCCGCCCCUGUUUUUGGGGGUGGGUUGAGUGGCGAACGGGUGAGUAUCACGUGAGUAACCUGCCCCCUGCUCCUGGAUAACUGCUUGAAAGGGCGGCUAAUACGGGGUGUGCCGGCUGGUCCGCAUAGGCCUGGUCGGGAUAGUUUCAUCUUCGGGUGUUUCGGUGGGGGAUGGGCUCGCGGCCUAUCAGCUUGUUGGUGGGGUGAUGGCCCACCAAGGCGGUGACGGGUAGCCGGCCUGAGAGGGUGGGCGGCCAGACUGGGACGGAGACACGGCCCAGACUCCUGCGGGAGGCAGCAGUGGGGGGUAUUGCACAAUGGGCGGAAGCCUGAUGCAGCGACGUCGCGUGAGGGAUGGAGGCCUUCGGGUUGUGAACCUCUUUCUCCGGUGGUGAAGGCCCUGUCCGUUGCGGCGGGGUUGACGGUAGCCGGGUAUGAAGCGCCGGCUAACUACGUG